UACGGGGGGGGCAAGCGUUGUUCGGAAUUACUGGGCGUAAAGCGUGCGCAGGCGGUUUUGUAAGCCAGAUGUGAAAGCCCCGGGCUCAACCUGGGAAUGGCAUUUGGGACUGCAAGGCUGGAGUUUGGCAGAGGAGACUGGAAUUCCUGGUGUAGCAGUGAAAUGCGUAGAUAUCAGGAGGAAUACCGAUGGCGAAGGCAGGUCUCUGGGCUAUAACUGACGCUCAUGCACGAAAGCGUGGGGAGCAAACAGG
rnacentral:rRNA from 1 species